rnacentral:tRNA from 2 species
CGCGGGGUGGAGCUGCCUGGUAGCUCGUCGGGCUCAUAACCCGAAGGUCGUCGGUUCAAAUCCGGCCCCCGCAACCA